AUAAAAUGUUUCAACUUUAUUUGAGUCUAAUAUAGAAUACAUAUAUAUGUGUCAUGACUCAUGAUAAGAGCAUGUGCAGUGUGCACAAACAUUUGCAGCAUGAAAAACCGAGAAGAUCCGUCUUUGUCGCAGGUCGCUACGUCAAUUUUUCGCAAAGUUAGAGCGUUUUAAAAAUUCAGUGGGUGCAUCUAAAAAUAGACGCGGUACGCGGAAACGCGCGGCGCACGGAAUGCGACAGUCUAUUUUUAUUCUAUCGUCUAGACACUUGCUAGACAUUUGGGGCAUUGACCUACAUAAUAACACAGCCCGACGUGUCAGCAUCAUCGGUUGACUUCGGCUUUUGUUCGGUGUCACUCGGGAUACAUGGGUCGAUGAGAUUAUCAAUUGUACUCUCGCGGAAAGUGCAAGUGUCAUCAGCAAAAAAAGUUUAGCGCGUCUAAUAAGGCCAAGAUCUAUCUCAAGUAAUUAAUUUGAAAGAUAUCAUCAAUUAACUACGAAAACAAAAUUAAUUUUAUUGGUACUUAGCAUAACAACGUGAAAUAGUUACUAUCAGCUCGGUUUGUCAGAUUUAUAGGUUAGAAUGGCAUGUUGACAUGCACUUUGCGGUUGCAAUAAACAUUACUUGAACAGCAUAUCUAUGCAUAGAUCUACACGAACAUUUUUUUAGGCUACGUAUCAAUCCUCUGUACCGAAAGAAUUAAUGAGAUUCUUGAAGUAUAUCUAUAUUGCAAGGUUGAGUCAGUCAACAAACAGGUGCAACAUAUCUCGUUUCUUUAAUGCUAUAAAAUAUAAAUAAGUAAUAAUAUAACGAAGUAUAAAAAUAUUAAUCGAAAUAUUGUGAUGCAUAUCAGAAUCGAGAAAAUUCUCAUAUCGAUUCUCUUUGUAUUCUAGUAAAUGUCAUGAGAGUUGAUAUCGCA